GAUGAAGAACGCAGCGAAAUGCGAUAAGUAAUGUGAAUUGCAGAAUUCAGUGAAUCAUCGAAUCUUUGAACGCACAUUGCGCCCGCUGGUAUUCCGGCGGGCAUGCCUGUUCGAGCGUCAUUUCAACCCUCAAGCUCUCCGGAGUUUGGUGUUGGGGCGCCUGGGGCUUUUCGACCUCAGGGCCCUCAAGUCCAUCGGCGGGACCGCCAGGACACUGAGCGCAGUAGUAUUAUUUCGCUCGGUAGGAUCUUCCACGGCGGGUCGAUCUGGCCGCUAAACCCCCCAAUUCUCACCAAAGGUUGACCUCGGAUCAGGAAGGAAUACCCGCUGAACUUAAGCAUAUCAAUAAGCGGAGGA
rnacentral:misc_RNA from 1 species